GACGAACGCUGGCGGCGUGCCUAAUACAUGCAAGUAGAACGCUGAAGGAGGAGCUUGCUUCUCUGGAUGAGUUGCGAACGGGUGAGUAACGCGUAGGUAACCUGCCUGGUAGCGGGGGAUAACUAUUGGAAACGAUAGCUAAUACCGCAUAAGAGUAGAUGUUGCAUGACAUUUGCUUAAAAGGUGCAAUUGCAUCACUACCAGAUGGACCUGCGUUGUAUUAGCUAGUUGGUGGGGUAACGGCUUACCAAGGCGACGAUACAUAGCCGACCUGAGAGGGGGAUCGGCCACACUGGGACUGAGACACGGCCCAGACUCCUACGGGAGGCAGCAGUAGGGAAUCUUCGGCAAUAGACGGAAGUCUGACCGAGCAACGCCGCGUGAGUGAAGAAGGUUUUCGGAUCGUAAAGCUCUGUUGUAAGAGAAGAACGAGUGUGAGAGUGGAAAGUUCACACUGUGACGGUAUCUUACCAGAAAGGGACGGCUAACUACGUG
rnacentral:rRNA from 1 species